rnacentral:rRNA from 1 species
CAGCAGUGGGGAAUAUUGCACAAUGGGCGCAAGCCUGAUGCAGCCAUGCCGCGUGUGUGAAGAAGGCCUUCGGGUUGUAAAGCACUUUCAGUAAGGAGGAAAGGUUAAGUGUUAAUAGCGCUUAGCUGUGACGUUACUUACAGAAGAAGCACCGGCUAACUCCGUGCCAGCAGCCGCGGUAAUACGGAGGGUGCGAGCGUUAAUCGGAAUUACUGGGCGUAAAGCGUACGCAGGCGGUUUGUUAAGCGAGAUGUGAAAGCCCCGGGCUCAACCUGGGAACUGCAUUUCGAACUGGCAAACUAGAGUGUGAUAGAGGGUGGUAGAAUUUCAGGUGUAGCGGUGAAAUGCGUAGAGAUCUGAAGGAAUACCGAUGGCGAAGGCAGCCACCUGGGUCAACACUGACGCUCAUGUACGAAAGCGUGGGGAGCAAACAGGAUUAGAUACCCUGGUAG